rnacentral:rRNA from 1 species
UCCUACGGGAGGCAGCAGUGGGGAAUAUUGCACAAUGGGCGCAAGCCUGAUGCAGCCAUGCCGCGUGUAUGAAGAAGGCCUUAGGGUUGUAAAGUACUUUCAGUCGGGAGGAAGGUGUUGAGUUUAAUAUGCUCAGCAAUGACGUUACCGACAGA